rnacentral:rRNA from 1 species
GAUGAACGCUAGCGGGAGGCCUAACACAUGCAAGCCGAGCGGGAUUUGUUGGUUAGCUUGCUAACUAACAAUGAGAGCGGCGUACGGGUGCGUAGCACGUGUGCAACCUGCCUUUAUCUGGGGGAUAGCCCUUCGAAAGGAAGAUUAAUACCCCAUAACAUAUUGAUUGGCAUCAGUUAAUAUUGAAAGCUCCGGCGGAUAGAGAUGGGCACGCGUAAGAUUAGCUAGUUGGUGAGGUAACGGCUCACCAAGGCUGCGAUCUUUAGGGGGCCUGAGAGGGUGAUCCCCCACACUGGUACUGAGACACGGACCAGACUCCUACGGGAGGCAGCAGUGAGGAAUAUUGGACAAUGGGUGAGAGCCUGAUCCAGCCAUCCCGCGUGAAGGACUAAGGACCUAUGGUUUGUAAACUUCUUUUAUACAGGGAUAAACCUACUCUCGUGAGGGUAGCUGAAGGUACUGUAUGAAUAAGCACCGGCUAACUCCGUG